ensembl:tRNA
GCCCUCUUAGUAUAGUGGCUAGUACUCCACGUUGUGGUCGUGGCAACGCGGGUUCGAUUCCAGCAGCAGGCA